rnacentral:rRNA from 1 species
GUAGGGCGCGCGCGUUGUCCGGAUUUAUUGGGCGUAAAGAGCUCGUAGGCGGCUUGUCGCGUCGAAUGUGAAAUCUCGGGGCUCAACUCCGAGCUUGCAUUCGAUACGGGCAGGCUAGAGUUCGGUAGGGGAGACUGGAAUUCCUGGUGUAGCGGUGAAAUGCGCAGAUAUCAGGAGGAACACCGGUGGCGAAGGCGGGUCUCUGGGCCGAUACUGACGCUGAGGAGCGAAAGCGUGGGGAGCGAACAGG